rnacentral:lncRNA from 1 species
UGCUCCUGUCUUCUGCUCCUCUAGUGAGCCAUUCCUCUCCCUUGGAAUUCAUCAGAGUCAUCCCUGUAGAGCCCCCUUCCUGCCUCUCAAUUCCUCCUGCCUCACUUCCCAGGCUACUGCUGCUUCAAGACAGUGACGUUUCUCUCCGGUCAGCUGUCAGGAGCGCUGGUGAGCUUCCUACUGUGCCACAAGGUGCGGGUGCUGGAGACACAGCUGAGCCUGGAAAUGAGAGUGGGCAUCGCCGUGGUCAUCAUGACUCCUCUGCGGCGUGGUCACCAUGUUGGUUCACUGUGUUGGGCUCUUAUUGACGGGUCUCCUGCUAGGCCUGACCUUGGGUGCCGGAGCCCUGCUGGCUUCUGAGCCUAUCUACCAACCACCUUCAGCCUGGGUGCCAGCUGGGGGGCUGGUGGGGCUGGCGCUGCUGGGAGCCCUGCUCACACUUCGGUGGCCACGUCCAUUCACAGUUCUGGGCACAACCCUGCUGGGUUCUGCAGUGCUUGUGGCCUGUGUUGACUACUUCCUGGAGGGGCUGGCACUGGGGAGUUGGCUGGGCCAACGCCUGCAGACACUUCCAGCCUUGCCUUCUCUCUGCUGAUAUAGCUGGGUCUUACUGGGGAUCUGGCCAGCCUUGGGGGCCCUUGGAGCCCUGGCCCAGUGGAAGCUCGUGCCUGAGGAACAUGGAGGCCACGCUAAUGAGUUACUUCCAGAGUCUUCAAGAGUGCCAACUGGGACCAGGACCCCAGACCACAGCCCCCCACACCGUCCUGGACCUGGAUUCUGACUGUGGUUCCACUGUACCCCUCACCUUAAUCUCUGGUUCUAACCAGACCUGAGCCUAGACUUCCACUUUUUCCCUUACCCCUGUGAGGGCCUGGGAACACUAGGUGGGCAGGGUUUGAGCCCACAGGACCUGCACACAAACUUCCCCACCUCUUGGACUUGGGGACAGGAUCUGUGCCUCAACCCAGACCAGCUUUGUAGGGAUAUGUUCCAAGAACAGAGAAGAGUCUUAUGGGGAAGGGGGAGGAAGGGAAGUAUGAAUAUUUACCUCUGACCAAUAAUAGAGGUGCCCUGGUCCCCAAAGAAAUUGACUCCCGAAUUCCCUCCAAGCCUUACCCAUAUAGCUUUUGUUUGUUUGUUUGUUUUCAGACAAGGUCUUGUUCUGUCCAGUGCCGUGGCGUGACCACAGCUCAUGACAACUUUGAUUUCCCCGGCCCAAGCGAGCCUCUCAUUCAGCCUCCUGAGUGGCUGGGACCACAGACGCCACACACAGCUAAUUUUUAUGUAUUCGUUUUUAUUUUUUUGCAGAGACAGGGUCUCCCUAUGUUGCCCAAGCUGGUCUUGAACUCCUGGGCUCAAGUGAUCCUCCUGCUUCAGCCUCCCAAAGUGCUAGGAUUAUAGCCACCGCACCUCGUCUUGAAAUAGCCUUUUAAAUGUUCACCUCAGCUUGCCUCACAGUGGGUCUGUUCCUGGUUUCCCAGAUGCAUAAAGGAAGACAUAUCCCUCCCCUGGGCAGCAAGGCUACAAUGGGAGGGAGGGAGAACAUGGGAGCAUGUGAAUAAAAUGGCAUUAAAUACUGAA